CUACGUUAAAACUAUACAAGCAGAUUCUGAUUUUUAUUAUUAUUAUAUGUGCUAUGGCAGAAAAGCGAAUCACUUAAAGUAUUAUGUAGCAGGAAUUAACAUAUUUACUACUUAAGAAAGUAUCAAAAUCCUACGUUGAAACUAUACAAGCAGAUUCUGAUUUUAAUUAUGGUUAUAUGUGCUAUGGCAGAAUAGCGAAUCACUUAAAGUAUGAUGUGACAGGAAUUAACAUAUUUACUA
rnacentral:lncRNA from 1 species